UACGUAGGGUGCAAGCGUUAAUCGGAAUUACUGGGCGUAAAGGGCGCGUAGGCGGCCUGCUAAGUCGAACGUGAAAUCCCCGGGCUCAACCCGGGAACUGCGUCCGAUACUGGCAGGCUUGAAUUCGGGAGAGGGAUGCGGAAUUCCAGGUGUAGCGGUGAAAUGCGUAGAUAUCUGGAGGAACACCGGUGGCGAAGGCGGCAUCCUGGACCGAAAUUGACGCUGAGGCGCGAAAGCCAGGGGAGCAAACGGG
rnacentral:rRNA from 1 species